rnacentral:rRNA from 1 species
AGGGCACCACCAGGAGUGGAGCCUGCGGCUUAAUUUGACUCAACACGGGAAAACUCACCCGUCCCGGACACCGUAAGGAUUGACAGACUGAGAGCUCUUUCUUAAUUCGGUGGGUGGUGGUGCAUGGCCGUUCUUAGUUGGUGGAGCGAUUUGUCUGGUUAACUCCGAUAACGAACGAGACUCUGGCCUAUUAAAUAGUCGGUAUAUCCAGAAAAGUUUACCGUACUUCUUAGAGGGACAAACGGCGUCUAGCCGCGUGAAAUAGAGCAAUAACAGGUCUGUGAUGCCCUUAGAUGUCCGGGGCUGCACGCGCGCUACACUGAAAGAAUCAGUAUGCGCUUUAACCUAGUCCGGAAGGAUUGGGUAACCCGAGCAAAUUCUUUCGUGCUUGGGAUAGGGAAUUGCAAUUAUUUCCCUUAAACGAGGAAUUCCCAGUAAAUGCGGGUCAUAAGCUCGCGUUGAUUACGUCCCUGCCCUUUGUACACACCGCCCGUCGCUACUACCGAUUGGAUGACUUAG